GGCCGAGUGGUGUAGUUGGUUAUCACGUUUCGUUAACAUGACACAUGUUAGCGCCGAAAAGGUCCUCAGUUCGAGUCUGGGCUUGGUCA